GGGUUGUGAGGUUAAGCGACUAAGCGUACACGGUGGAUGCCCUGGCAGUCAGAGGCGAUGAAGGGCGUGCUAAUCUGCGAUAAGCGCCGGUAAGGUGAUAUGAACCGUUAUAACCGGCGAUACCCGAAUGGGGAAACCCAGUGUGACUCGUCACACUAUCAUUAACUGAAUCCAUAGGUUAAUGAGGCGAACCGGGGGAACUGAAACAUCUAAGUACCCCGAGGAAAAGAAAUCAACCGAGAUUCCCCCAGUAGCGGCGAGCGAACGGGGAGGAGCCCAGAGCCUGAAUCAGCAUGUGUGUUAGUGGAAGCGUCUGGAAAGGCGCGCGAUACAGGGUGACAGCCCCGUACACAAAAGCGCAUGUGCUGUGAGCUCGAUGAGUAGGGCGGGACACGUGGUAUCCUGUCUGAAUAUGGGGGGACCAUCCUCCAAGGCUAAAUACUCCUGACUGACCGAUAGUGAACCAGUACCGUGAGGGAAAGGCGAAAAGAACCCCGGCGAGGGGAGUGAAAAAGAACCUGAAACCGUGUACGUACAAGCAGUGGGAGCA
rnacentral:rRNA from 4 species